rnacentral:rRNA from 1 species
CCUACGGGUGGCAGCAGUGAGGAAUAUUGGUCAAUGGCCGAGAGGCUGAACCAGCCAAGUCGCGUGAGGGAAGACGGCCCUACGGGUUGUAAACCUCUUUUGUCGGGGAGCAAAGCGAACCACGUGUGGUUCAUUGAGAGUACCCGAAGUAAAAGCAUAGGCUAACUCUGUGCCAGCAGCCGCGGUAAUACGGAGGAUGCGAGCGUUAUCCGGAUCUAUUGGGUUUAAAGGGUGCGCAGGCGGAGGUGCAAGUCAGCGGUCAAAUUGCGGGGCUCAACCCCGUACUGCCGUUGAUACUGCAUCCCUUGAGUGCGCGAGAGGUAAGCGGAAUGCGUGGUGUAGCGGUGAAAUGCAUAGAUAUCAGGCAGAACUCCGAUGGCGAAGGCAGCUUACCGGCGCGCAACUGACGCUCAUGCACGAAAGCGUGGGUAUCAAACAGGAUUAGAUACCCUGGUAGUC